UACAGAGGGUGCAAGCGUUGUUCGGAAUUAUUGGGCGUAAAGGGCGCGUAGGCGGUGCCACAAGUCACCUGUGAAAUCUCCGGGCUUAACUCGGAGCCUGCAGGCGAAACUGGCAGGCUAGAGUGCGGGAGAGGAGAGUGGAAUUCCUGGUGUAGCGGUGAAAUGCGCAGAUAUCAGGAAGAACACCCGUGGCGAAGGCGGCUCUCUGGAACGCAACUGACGCUGAGACGCGAAAGCGUGGGGAGCAAACAGG
rnacentral:rRNA from 1 species